UACAGAGGGUGCAAGCGUUAAUCGGAAUUACUGGGCGUAAAGGGCGCGUAGGCGGCCAGGUCAGUCGGAUGUGAAAUCCCCGGGCUCAACCUGGGAAUUGCAUUCGAUACUGCCUGACUAGAGUGUGGAAGAGGGAAGCGGAAUUUCCGGUGUAGCGGUGAAAUGCGUAGAUAUCGGAAGGAACACCAGUGGCGAAGGCGGCUUCCUGGUCCAACACUGACGCUGAGGCGCGAAAGCGUGGGGAGCGAACAGG
rnacentral:rRNA from 1 species